GCCGGGUGUGGUGGUGCACGCCUGUAAUCUCAGCUACUCAGGAGGCUGAAGCAGGAGAAUUGCUCGAACCUGGGAGGUGGAGGUUGCAGUGAGCCGAGAUCAUGCCACUGCAAUCUAGCCUGGGUGACAGAGCGAGACUCUGUCUCAA
rnacentral:SRP_RNA from 2 species